AUUACCCAAUCCUGACACAGGGAGGUAGUGACAAGAAAUAACAAUACGGGGCUUAAUGUCUUGUAAUUGGAAUGAUGGGAAUUUAAACCUCUUCCAGAGUAUCAAUUGGAGGGCAAGUCUGGUGCCAGCAGCCGCGGUAAUUCCAGCUCCAAUAGCGUAUAUUAAAAUUGUUGCAGUUAAAAAGCUCGUAGUUGAAUUUCUGCUGCAUCGUCGCAUCUCUUGCUGAGUGCUUCGUUUCGGCUUAUUUCGGAUUGAUUUUUUCUUUCCGGAUGAUUACUUUGAGAAAAUUAGAGUGCUCAAAGCAGGCUUUUGCCUUAAAUAGUUUAGCAUGGAAUAAUAAAGUAGGACUUUGGUUCUAUUUUGUUGAUUUUAGGUACCAAAGUAAUGGUUAAUAGGAACAGUUGGGGGCAUUCGUAUUUAA
rnacentral:rRNA from 1 species